UGUUAUGUAAGACCCCUGAAGCUGGGC
rnacentral:piRNA from 1 species